UAUAUAUAUAUAUAUAUAUAUAUAUAUAUAUAUAUAGAGUCCGGCUACUAUACUUUUAUGAGUAUUGGCUUCCUUAUAAGUUUUUGGCCCUUAGAUUUAUUCCAUUGAUCAUUUCUACUCGUUAGAUCAUACUAUUAAACCAACUACCCACUCAACCCUAGGGGACCACUAUCAUUCUAACUGGGGACCACCAUCAUCCUAACCACACAUCCACUACAAAAAAAUAGGCCUAUACCAGCAGCCAAAACUGCUGGUAAAGAAUACGAAAACUGCUGGUAAUAUUUGCUCCAGCAGUUCUAAAACUGCUGGUAAAAGUGCAGGUGACCGCUACAAUAUCCUUGCUGGUAUAACCUUUUCCCAGCACUUUUACUAACCAUCAGUGAAGAUGGUCUAUAGCAACAGUUCUUAAAUCGUCGCUAAAAGUACAAGAAAAACACUAGCAUAAGGCGCAUAUACCGACAGUUUUUGACCGCUAGCAAUUUGAAACUAAUAUUAAAAAAAAAUACUAAUAUCAACAAAUUACAAUAGGAUUUUUUUCAUUUGAUAUUAAUUGUAAAACCUACAAUCUGUAG
rnacentral:lncRNA from 1 species